UACGUAGGGUGCGAGCGUUAAUCGGAAUUACUGGGCGUAAAGCGUACGCAGGCGGUUUGGUAAGACAGGCGUGAAAUCCCCGGGCUUAACCUGGGAACUGCGCUUGGGACUGCCAGGCUAGAGUACGGCAGAGGGGGGUGGAAUUCCAGGUGUAGCAGUGAAAUGCGUAGAGAUGUGGAGGAACACCAAUGGCGAAGGCAGCCCCCUGGGUCGAUACUGACGCUCAUGCACGAAAGCGUGGGUAGCAAACAGG
rnacentral:rRNA from 1 species